UUUGGUAUAUUGAAGGCCUUGGCGAUUUUGCUUGUAUAAGGCAAACACAAAUCACAUAUUAGACAGCUUGGUCUUGGUUUCAUCUCUUCAACUAGCUUCAUGACCGGCUCUUCGAGCAUGUUAACCAUUUUAAAGAAAGGUACUAUCAAAUCCUUGGAGUCAAGCGAAUCCAUGUUCUCUUUUCCUUCUGGCAGCCCAGCUUCUUGGUAUGGAAGCUUCACAUGCACUACGUUGAUGGGCAAACCAGACUCCAUGGCACGGUUUAAGACAUUCUUGAACCUCUCUGCGUUGUCAGGCGUCGUGACAAUUGUUAUGGUCACGCCGCGCUGAGCCAGGAGCCUUGCGAUAUCGACCAUGGGAAUCAUGUGGCCUUGAGCCAUGAAAGGGAAGAGAACAAAGUGAAGAGGUGGAUGAGCUUGUUGAGGUUUUUGGGAAGCCAUACUUGUUUCAAAUCAGUGAAGAACUUUCGAGUUUUGUUUUUGACUAUAUGGUGGAUAAGAGGAGUGGGAAUAAAAAUGGCUUCACCAAAAUGAUGUAGUAGAUGACGUAAAACCGUACUUUAAAGACAGAUUAUUACGUUCAAGAAGACACAAAUCAAAUUGAACUCUCUCUCUCUCUCGGACAUUACCAAAAUCAAUUUGUCUUUGAAAAUUCAACGUUCAGUUCAAAGUCUCCUAAUCUAAGCUUGGCCCACGGAAAUAACUAUCAGAGGCAGCAAAAAUCAAAUUCAAUGGACUAACAUGUUAUUCUAGGAUUCGUGUCUAACAUAUUAUUAUAUGACAAGACUUUCUAUGUAACGAAUAUACUUUUCUUAUAUAUAAUAUAUUGAAAACUGAAAAAGAAUCUAGCUAAUCAAAAACUAUUGCAUAACAUUAUAUUUAGUGUAAUUUGUAUGAUAUUAUUAGACAGCUUGGUCUUGGUUUCAUCUCUUCAACUAGCUUCAUGACCGGCUCUUCGAGCAUGUUAACCAUUUUAAAGAAAGGUACUAUCAAAUCCUUGGAGUCAAGCGAAUCCAUGUUCUCUUUUCCUUCUGGCAGCCCAGCUUCUUGGUAUGGAAGCUUCACAUGCACUACGUUGAUGGGCAAACCAGACUCCAUGGCACGGUUUAAGACAUUCUUGAACCUCUCUGCG
rnacentral:lncRNA from 1 species